CUGGAUAGUGUGAGUGAGAGAGAGCGAGAAAGAGAGAGAGAGAGGGAGAGAAAGGAGUGAGGGUGUGAGUGAGAUGUAGCAGAGAGGUGGAGGUGUCGAUAACUAGGCUGUAAUCGACCUUGUUUAAAGCUGUGUGGUGUGCUGACUGUUUGAACUCCUCUGCUUGUUAUCAGCAGUCGCAGAUUUAAUUAAGGUGGCAGGCAGAUUUAAUGUCAAUUAGGCCCCAAAAUGAGUAUAAAAAGUGUGUUCAAUAAUAACGGAUGUGAGAAAGUCAGAAAAACAGAAACAGACACACAGCUUAAGAAAAUGCAGGAAGUGGGGAAAUAAUAUAAUGGGGGGAAAAAAGGUAAAAAUAUCAUGAUAGAAUAAAAGAAGGAGCAAAUUACAUUUGCCUGAGUUGGUACAGAGAUUGUGUAAAAUAUUGUGCCAUUAAUCUCUCUCUAACACAAUUUCUCUCAUUCUCUCUCUCGCAUGCUUCUCCCUAUGGAUUAUUACCUGCACCUUUUGUCCGAUCUCCGUGUUGCCGUGGGCAAUCAAUUGGAGUAUGCAAAUGCAGUAAUAAAGAAGACUUUCAUAUCAGGUCUGUCUGAAACUGAAGGCAGAUAAAAGAAUAGAUGAAUACCUUGAUGCUUUGCUGCCUGUGCUUUCAUAGGUAUGAACAUACCAAAUGCAGGAGGGAACAUUACAUCACGACUUUAUCGACAGCUAUGUACUGUAGUAACAUUAGAAAUAAUUGCUCAUCAGAUUUGUAAGCAAACUGUAAGUGGGUUAACAUACAUCAUGUUUGCUAGUCGCUAGGCUUGAUGGAAUGAAAUAUUUACAUAAUGGUUGGAAAUAAAUAGAGCACAUAAUCUGUGAUCUCACCAGCUAAAAAAGGGUUAAAAAAAGGGGUUAGGGUUAGGGAAAAUCCAUUUUCAUUCAUUCUUCUUCAUUAACAGCUUUAUCCUACUCAGGGUUGCGAGGCUGUCCCAGGAGCACUGGUGGGAAUACACGCUGGACACUCUGGGCACUGUGCAAACACACAUUUACACACCUAUUUACAUGCUCAUUCACACCUUGGGGCAAUUAAGUGUAGCCAAUUCACCUACAGUACCUGCAUGUUUUUGGGAUGUGGGAGGAAACUGGAGAACCUGGAUGAAAUCAACAAAUUCACAAAGAGAACAUGCAAAACUACACACAGAUGUUAAUCCAAGCUCAGGAUUGAACCAGGGACCUUGAGCUGUGAUGCUGUGCACUGUGCUAAUCUGUGGAAUCAAUUAAAAAUUAUUUAUCAUAUUAUACUGCAUAAACUAUACCUGUACUGUGUCUUCACUACUGUGCUGGUGUAGUACUGUACUGGCUCCUGGGAUCAAUCGGAUAUCAUUAAAAUUCUGUAAUUGAACCAAUUAAAAUGAAUCGUGCCUAUGUUGUUUAGUUUCAUAGAGAAUGUACAAAAUGUACUUAAACCUAACUCCAACCUUCUUAUCUUUUCAUAUGAACUGAGUCUCACACGUUGAUGCAAAUAACAUUUUUGACACACUCAUUUUCAACAUGCACUGCUUUUUGCCAUAUUUUUGUCAAAACAGUGCUGAGACAUGGAGAUGCUUCAACCCAAUAGUGUCCAACCUUAUCUGCUUACCUGAUUUUCCUUGUUUACUCAAUCGAUCUGUUUUCAAAUGAUUGAUUGAUGUUCUUCAGCUUGGUUAGAAUGAAAACCUGGAGUCACACUGGCCCUGUGCACAUAAGCCUGGACACCCAAUAAAUUGCUUUAGCCCUUGGAACUCAGAAGGGAAAUUCAGCACACCUGUCUAGUUUAUUGAUUUUUUUUUUUUCCAGAGGUCAGAAAACCACAAUAAAUGCCACCAUUAUCAUCCAUACACUACAUCAACAUGAUGCACAUGGAAAAGAAACAAUGUAAAAAAUAGAGAAAUAAACAAACCUUAAAUGAGCUAGAGAGUCUACUUGAGUGUCCCAUACAAUAGAUCCAGUCCCACUGCUGGGUUUGUGAGGAUAUAUAUAUUUAUAUAUUUAUAUAAUGAUGUAUUUUAUAUAGUACCGGCAGUACCAUCUGCCACAAGAGAGCUCAGUUUCAGUUUGUAUUGAGCGCUAACUCAGUUCAGAGCCAAGUGUCCGAGGCUCCGUCCGCACUUUGCAGGGGCCGGUUGCUAUGACAACUGGCACAUUCCACCACUUGAACUUUUCUCCUUUUGUUGGCAACACCCACCAGCACGUGACAGCUCAAGUUCAUCCUUUCCUCUCACUCUCCAGUUGAGGCCUAUUGCUGAAUUGAUGUCCACGAACGACAGCUCGCUCGAUGGCAAAAUCUGUUUUUCAGGGAACAGACUGAGCAAAGAACAGAUGCUACAUUGUGUAAAAUAAUUAAGCUGGUUUAGCUUACUUGCUGAAGAUAAAGUCCCACAUAGAUCUCUCUGACCAUUAAAAAUCCCUUUCUUCUGCAUCUGCAUCGGAAUAAUAAACCAUGAGUUUUUUUAUUUUAUAUUUAGGCAAUUAGUGACUUAGCAACACUUUAAGAGCUACAGUAGUAGGAUGAGAAGCUUGUAUGACAGUGAUGUUUAACAAAGCAAUAAUGUAAGGUUAGGCAUUUGGGGCAAACUGUAAUCCAGAUGUGUGGACCAUGUAACAGAUGUGGGUCCAGCUGCUAGGGAGGAAAGGUGAAGAAGCAGGAUUUGAUGGAGAGAGAGAGAGAGAGAGUUCAAUGCUUUUAUUUCCAAAUGUAUGUGUAUACAUAAAACAACAAGAAAGUCUAUGUGAAAGUCUGUGUGAACGUGUAUGGGGUGUAAAAGAAAACAAGUGUGAAUGAGUAUGUCCCAUUACACCUCAGAUUGUGUAGUUACACUGGCAGAGAUUAGCAUGUAGUUAAAUUGGAGAAGUAGUGGAGGAGUUAAACUGGAGGUUAGAGUGUAGUUAAACUGGAGGAGGUUAGAGUGUAGUUAAACUGGAGGAGAUAGGUAUGUAGUUAAACUGGAGGAGAUUAGAGUGUAGUUAAACUGGAGGAGAUUAGAGUAGUUAUACUGGAGGAG
ensembl:lncRNA